CCGUUUAUAAAGUAACUACCGUCAAUUCUUUAAAUGUUUUCCAGAUCACCCAACUUACAAAAUAAAAUUAUAUUCUUAGUUGUCAAUUUAUGAGCAUUUCAUUUUCAUAGUUUAUUGCUACAUAAUUCGUGUGUAAAGCUCAACAUAUCUCAACACUUCACAAAUUUGAAAAAGGCAGAAGUAAUUAUUUUGCACGAACAAAAGAUAGAUCUUUUCUUUAGUGAAAUAGAAAGGCGCUUAACGAUAUCGUGUAAGUCCGUGCAGUUAUGGGUGCGCAGAUAUGCGGAGACUGGUGAUAUUGAAAAUUGCCAAGCUGGGCCGAAGCCGAAGGCAAAUUCGUUAGCCCGGCACUACGACAUCAUAGCCAGGCAUAAGGUUGAUCCCUUUUUCAACGCGCACUACAGCAACGGCACUCGAUGUCUUCACGCAAACAAUAAGGAGGCACCUGCAUUCUGGUUUAAGGUGCAGGGAGCCACCCAAAAAGAUAUUACUGCCCACAAUGCACCAGGAACAACGAUAAAAUUUUGCCAGAAGUUUUAUAAAUUUUGAUAGGGCUAAUAAUGUGGUUAUAUUUAACGAUGUAAAUAAUUAAUUUCAUGCUAGCAGCAUAAAGUUUAAAUUUAUUUGUAUUGAAUAUUUUUUUUGCGUUAACGCUGAGUUAUAUCGAUUUAUUUUUCGAUAAUCAGUUACUGAGCCAUCAGCCAAAUUAUAUAUAGUCCAAAUUAACUACAAUGUUUAUAUUUUUAAAAUAAUAUUAAAAUGCAGUCUAGAAAAUACGGUGAAGUGAUGUUAUUGUUAUGCGGUUAGAAAUUGUCAUAAUUUCUUUCUAUUCAACAUGUUAAUUCACUUCAUUUCUCAUUUUUAAUAACUUAUGUAACUGCUGUUCAACUAAUUUGAAACAUUAUAUUUACGCUCAUCCUUAACCAACUUAGAGUAUGAUUCGAAAUGUUAUAAUGUUAAAAACUUAUUUGUAUUAAUCGUCACAUUUUUGCUAACAUAUUGCCCACUCGAUAUUGAAUCUUAUAGCAACAGCCUUAAAACACAAAAUGGAGAAUUCUAAUAACAAAAAUUUGCUAAUUUCAAGAAAUAACAAUAUUUACUGUGAAGCGGAAAUUUGGAAAACAAUGUUUUAAUUAAAUUUUUAUAAUAAUUUUAUUUUUUAA